UGGAUCCAGACUUUGAUCAUGGCUCAGGACGAACGCUGGCGGCGCGCCUAACACAUGCAAGUCGAACGAGCGAGAGAGAGCUUGCUUUCUCGAGCGAGUGGCGAACGGGUGAGUAACGCGUGAGGAACCUGCCUCAAAGAGGGGGACAACAGUUGGAAACGACUGCUAAUACCGCAUAAGCCCACGGGUCGGCAUCGACCAGAGGGAAAAGGAGUAAUCCGCUUUGAGAUGGCCUCGCGUCCGAUUAGCUAGUUGGUGAGGUAACGGCCCACCAAGGCAACGAUCGGUAGCCGGACUGAGAGGUUGAACGGCCACAUUGGGACUGAGACACGGCCCAGACUCCUACGGGAGGCAGCAGUGGGGAAUAUUGCACAAUGGGGGAAACCCUGAUGCAGCGACGCCGCGUGGAGGAGGAAGGUCUUCGGAUUGUAAACUCCUGUUGUUGAGGAAGACAAUGACGGUACUCAACAAGGAAGUGACGGCUAACUACGUGCCAGCAGCCGCGGUAAAACGUAGGUCACAAGCGUUGUCCGGAAUUACUGGGUGUAAAGGGAGCGCAGGCGGGCAGACAAGUUGGAAGUGAAAUCCAUGGGCUCAACCCAUGAACUGCUUUCAAAACUGUAUGUCUUGAGUAGUGCAGAGGUAGGCGGAAUUCCCGGUGUAGCGGUGGAAUGCGUAGAUAUCGGGAGGAACACCAGUGGCGAAGGCGGCCUACUGGGCACCAACUGACGCUGAGGCUCGAAAGUGUGGGUAGCAAACAGGAUUAGAUACCCUGGUAGUCCACACCGUAAACGAUGAUUACUAGGUGUUGGAGGAUUGACCCCUUCAGUGCCGCAGUUAACACAAUAAGUAAUCCACCUGGGGAGUACGACCGCAAGGUUGCAACUCAAAGGAAUUGACGGA
rnacentral:rRNA from 1 species